rnacentral:rRNA from 1 species
CAAGUUCGUAGGAACUGGGAAGAUCAUAC